UGAAGAUUGGCUGGAAGACAAUAGGUCAGAGAUCGUGCUACUGAUACUGACACCGAUACUACCGCUACUGAUACUGAUACUAUUGAUACUGAUACUGAUACUAAUACUGAUAUUGAUACUACUGAUACUGAUAGUGAUACUAAUACUGACACUGAUACUACUAAUACUGAUACUGAUACUACUGAUACUAAUACUGAUAUUGAUACUACUGAUACUAAUAGUGAUACUACUGAUACUAAUAGUGAUACUAUCGAUAAUGAUACUGACACUGAUACUACUGAUGGUACUGAUACUGAUACUAAUUCUGAUAUUGAUACUACUGAUACUGAUACUGAUAAUACUGAUACUAAUACUGACACCGAUACUACUGAUACUGAUACCACUAAUGCUGAUAAUGAUAUUGAUACUACUGAUACUGAUAUUACUGAUACUAAUAUUGAUACUACUGAUACUAAUGCUGAUCUUGAUACUACUGAUACUGAUGGUGAUACUAAUACUGAUAUUGAUACUACUGAUACUACUGAUACUAAUACCUAUAUUGAUACUACUGAUACUGAUAGUGAUACUAAUACUGAUACUGAUACUACUGAUACUAAUACCGAUAUUGAUACUACUGAUACUGAUACUGAUACUACUGAAACUAAUACUGAUAUUGAUACUACUGAUACUGAUAGUGAUACUACUGAUAAUGAUACUGACACUGAUACUACUGAUGCUACUGAUACCGAUACCGAUACUACUGAUACUGAUACUACUGAUACUGAUACUACUGUCCACUGCAACAGGUUAGCUGCCGUACUAAAGCCACUGGAACUGUUCCCUGAGACACUGAGGUAAGAUAAGAAAACUUCAUUGUCCAUUACGUUUGCAUAAAAUGGAGAUUUGUCUUUGGCAUCUGGCAUAUAAAAUACAGCAGGAAACAUAAAACAAAAUAAAUAAUGAACAUAAGUAAGAACAUCAAAUACAUCAUAGAUAGCAUAAAAGCAGCAUUUAAAACAACAGUGAUCACAGCCUACUGUUGUUGAUUAUUUUGGAGGGCAGCAAUGAAUUUUUGUAGCCGUUCUGCUUCACCAGAGGGACCACAAGUCUCCUGCCAGACGGCAGCAGCCUGAAAGAUGGUAGUAGUGGGUGUGUUGGGUCAUUGUAAACAUUGUAAACUUUUGAAUGUUGCAUUUGUUUGGCGUGGUUUACCACCUGGGUCAGGUUUUUCCUAUCUCUAACCAGGAGCAUCCUAUUCCAAGAGACCAUGUUAAAGGUGAGAACAUCAAAGGUGACAUUGUGUGUCAGGUACAGCAAAGUAGGUCAGGUACAGUCAGGUGUGUCAGGUACAGUCAGGUACAGCAAGGUAAGUCAGGUACAGUCAGGUGUGUCAGAUGUGCCAGGUGCAGUCCGGUGUGUCAGGUACAGUCAGGUGUGUCAGAUGUGCCAGGUACACUCUGGUGUGUCAGAUACAGUUAGGUGUGUUAGGUACAGUCAGACACAAUCAGGUGUAUCAGAUUUGUCAGGUACAGGCAGGUUUGACAGGUACAGUCAGGUGUGUCAGGUACAGUAAGGUGUGUCAGGUGUGGGUGGUACAAUCAGGUGUGUCAGGUACAGUCAGGUGUGUCAGGUACAGACAGGUGUGUCAGGUGUGUCAGCUACAGUCAGGUGUGUCAGAUGUGUCAGGUACAGAAAGGUGUGUCAGGUACAGGCAGGUUUGCCAGGUACAGUCAGGUGUAUCAGGUCCAGGCAGGUUUGCCAGGUACAGUCAGGUGAGUCAGGUGUGUCAGGUACAGUCAGGUGUGGCAGGUACAGUCGGGCACAGUCGGGCACAGUCAGUUGAGCCAGGUACAGUCAGGUGUGUCAGGUACAGUCAGACACAAUCAGGUGUGUCAGAUUUGUCAGGUACAGGCAGGUUUGCCAGGUACAGUCAGGUGUGUCAGGUACAGUCAGAUGUGUCAGGUACAGAAAAGUGUGUCAGGUACAGUCAGGUGAGUCAGGUACAGUCAGGUGUGGCAGGUAUAGUCAGGUGAGUCAGGUGUGUCAGGUGUGUCAGGUACAGUCAGGUGUGUCAGAUGUGCCAGGUACACUCUGGUGUGUCAGAUACAGUUAGGUGUGUCAGGUACAGUCAGACACAAUCAGGUGUGUCAGAUUUGUCAGGUACAGGCAGGUUUGACAGGUACAGUCAGGUGUGUCAGGUACAGUAAGGUGUGUCAGGUGUGGGUGGUACAAUCAGGUGUGUCAGGUACAGUCAGGUGUGUCAGGUACAGACAGGUGUGUCAGGUGUGUCAGCUACAGUCAGGUGUGUCAGAUGUGUCAGGUACAGAAAGGUGUGUCAGGUACAGGCAGGUUUGCCAGGUACAGUCAGGUGUAUCAGGUCCAGGCAGGUUUGCCAGGUACAGUCAGGUGAGUCAGGUGUGUCAGGUACAGUCAGAUGUGGCAGGUACAGUCGGGCACAGUCAGUUGAGCCAGGUACAGUCAGGUGUGUCAGGUACAGUCAGACACAAUCAGGUGUGUCAGAUUUGUCAGGUACAGGCAGGUUUGCCAGGUACAGUCAGGUGUGUCAGGUACAGUCAGAUGUGUCAGGUACAGACAGGUGUGUCAGGCGCGUCAGCUACAGUCAGAUGUGUCAGGUACAGAAAAGUGUGUCAGGUACAGUCAGGUGAGCCAGGUACAGUCAGGUGUGGCAGGUAUAGUCAGGUGAGUCAGGUGUGUCAGGUGUGUCAGGUAUGU